AGGUCAGUAACAGAAAGAACAUCACCGUCCCCAACCUGCAACAAAGGAUACAUCUCCUAUGGGGUGAGGAGGAUCAAAAUUUCUAUAUGGAGAUUGCCCAGAGCCUGAAAAGGCAACUAGGAGACAAUGCAACACUGCAAAGCAUUGAGAAGGGGUG